UACGUAGGGGGCAAGCGUUGUCCGGAUUUAUUGGGCGUAAAGAGCGUGUAGGCGGCCAAGCAGGUCUGCUGUGAAAACUCGAGGCUCAACCUCGAGACGUCGGUGGAAACCGUUUGGCUAGAGUCCGGAAGAGGAGAGUGGAAUUCCCGGUGUAGCGGUGAAAUGCGCAGAUAUCGGGAAGAACACCCGUGGCGAAGGCGGCUCUCUGGGCCGAUACUGACACUGAGGAGCGAAAGCGUGGGGAGCGAACAGG
rnacentral:rRNA from 1 species